rnacentral:rRNA from 1 species
UACGUAGGUGGCAAGCGUUGUCCGGAAUUAUUGGGCGUAGAGCGCGCGCAGGCGGCUUCUUAAGUCUGAUGUGAAAUCUCGGGGCUCAACCCCGAGCGGCCAUUGGAAACUGGGAAGCUUGAGUGCAGAAGAGGAGAGUGGAAUUCCACGUGUAGCGGUGAAAUGCGUAGAUAUGUGGAGGAACACCAGGGGCGAAGGCGACUCUCUGGUCUGUCACUGACGCGGAGGCGCGAAAGCGUGGGGAGCAAACAGG